rnacentral:lncRNA from 1 species
UGAGUGUUCAGACAAAGCUUUGGCUCGCUCUUGGACGCCUCUAGAGAUAGAAUCCAAGAUUCUAUCACUAGGAUUCAUGGUUCCCACACUUCUUUCUUUUGUGACAGGAAGGAUCUUGCUGUGUAGCCCUGGCUGGUGUGCAGUGGCACAGUAACGGCUCACUGCAGCCUCGACUUGGGCUCAAGCGAUCCCACCUGCCUCAGCCUCCCUGAGAACUGCA